rnacentral:rRNA from 1 species
UUCACCUACGGGAGGCAGCAGUGGGGAAUAUUGGGCAAUGGGCGCAAGCCUGACCCAGCAACGCCGCGUGAAGGAAGAAGGCUUUCGGGUUGUAAACUUCUUUUCUGAGGGACGAAGAAAGUGACGGUACCUCAGGAAUAAGCCACGGCUAGCUACGUGCCAGCAGCCGCGGUAAUACGUAGGUGGCAAGCGUUAUCCGGAUUUAUUGGGUGUAAAGGGCGUGUAGGCGGGAAUGCAAGUCAGAUGUGAAAACUAUGGGCUCAACCCAUAGCCUGCAUUUGAAACUGUAUUUCUUGAGUGCUGGG